rnacentral:rRNA from 1 species
ACGAAGGGGGCAAGCGAAAUCAGGAAAUAUAGGGCGAAAAGAGUGAGUAGGAGGUUUUUUAAGAGCGAGGAGAAAGGCAAUAGCUUAACUAUCGUAAGCCUCGCGAACUGGAAGACUUGAGUGCAGGAUAGGAAAGUGGAAUUCCUAGUGUAGCGGUGAAAUGCGUGGAUAUUAGAAGGAACACCAGAGGCGAAGGCAACUAACUGGACUGAAACUGACACUGAGGCACGAAAGCGUGGUCAGCAAACAG